ACGUAGGAGGCGAGCGUUAUCCGGAUUUACUGGGCGUAAAGCGCGUGCAGGUGGUUUGGUAAGUUGGAUGUGAAAGCUCCUGGCUUAACUGGGAGAGGUCGUUCAAAACUGCCAGACUUGAGUGUGGAAGAGGGAGGUGGAAUUCCGGGUGUAGUGGUGAAAUGCGUAGAUAUCCGGAGGAACACCAGUGGCGAAAGCGGCCUCCUGGUCCAUAACUGACACUCAUACGCGAAAGCUAGGGGAGCGAACGGGAUUAGAGACCCCGGUAGUCCUAGCUGUAAACGAUGCGGACUUGGCGUCGGUGGGUUCAAAUCCAUCGGUGCCGAAGCUAACGCGAUAAGUCCGCCGCCUGGGGACUACGGCCGCAAGGUUA
rnacentral:rRNA from 1 species